AUUGAACGCUGGCGGCAUGCCUUACACAUGCAAGUCGAACGGCAGCAUGGAGAGCUUGCUCUCUGAUGGCGAGUGGCGAACGGGUGAGUAAAGCAUCGGAACGUACCGUGUAGUGGGGGAUAACGUAGCGACAGAUACGCUAAUACCGCAUACGCACUGAGGGGGAAAGCAGGGGAUCGUAAGACCUUGCGCUAUACGAGCGGCCGAUGUCAGAUUAGCUAGUUGGUAGGGUAAAGGCCUACCAAGGCGACGAUCUGUAGCGGGUCCGAGAGGAUGAUCCGCCACACUGGGACUGAGACACGGCCCAGACUCCUACGGGAGACAGCAGUGGGGAAUUUUGGACAAUGGGGGCAACCCUGAUCCAGCCAUGCCGCGUGAGUGAAGAAGGCCUUCGGGUUGUAAAGCUCUUUCGGCCGGGAAGAAAUCGCACAGGCUAAUACCCUGUGUGGAUGACGGUACCGGCAUAAGAAGCACCGGCUAACUACGUGCCAGCCGCCGCGGUAA
rnacentral:rRNA from 1 species